AUUAUACUCCCUCCGUCCCAUAACUCAAAUUUGUCCAAACAUGAACGUAUUUAUGCUUAAAAACGUCUAGAUACAUGUAAUAGAAAGUCACUUGAUAAGGGACGGAUGGAGUAUUUAUCUAGACGCAUUUUAGUACAAAGAUACGUCCAUUUUUAGACAAAUUUGAGUCACUUAAUAUGGGACGGAGGGAGUAUAAC
rnacentral:pre_miRNA from 1 species